rnacentral:rRNA from 1 species
UACGGGGGGGGCAAGCGUUGUUCGGAAUUACUGGGCGUAAAGGGUUCGUAGGUGGCUUGCUAAGUCAGACGUGAAAUCCCUCAGCUUAACUGGGGAACUGCGUCUGAGACUGGCAAGCUUGAGUACAGGAGAGGAAUGCGGAAUUCCAGGUGUAGCGGUGAAAUGCGUAGAUAUCUGGAGGAACACCGGUGGCGAAGGCGGCGUUCUGGACUGCAACUGACACUGAGGAACGAAAGCCAGGGGAGCAAACGGG